GGAAAGGGGAAAGUUAGUUACAAAAUUGUCCGAUCGUCGAACGGUUAAUUCCGUGCCGCGGCUCGACCGUAAAUCGGCCAAAUCGUGCAAGGGCCGACACGAUUCCCCGAUUCGGACAGUCGGACAUCACGACUACAUAUUUAAACGCGCGGCCAACAAAAUCAAUACAACGCUUUUUCAUCGAGACCUUUACGGCUGUUCGAAUUAAUUUUCCCCGACGAGUUGUUUUUCUCCUUGUACUUGGAAAAAUUUGGCAGACAAAUACACUCAAAAACAAAAGUUUUCCAAAGUUUUCCCCUGAAACGAAGCAAUAAGGGAAGAACAGAUAUCACAAACUAUUCUUGACUGGCCCUUAAUUGCUUAUAAUUUUGACACUGAGUUCUAAUCUAAUUUUCUAAUGAUCUAAUUUUUUGGGGGGAGGACAUUGUACAAACAGCUCGGACUUCCUCUUUUCAUAAUUUGCUAAUACACUUGGUGUCGUAUAAUAGUAUAAUAUUUGAACAGACGCCUAGAAUGAAGGCUAUAAUAACGACGUCAAGAAGAGCAAAAGUAUUUCAGAAGAAGAAAUUUCUGAAGACAGUCCCGAGCCAAUUGACACUCAUUGGAAUAAUUUGCAUAAUUCAGAAUUGAAUUCACAUAAACCAGACAUCUUAUUCCUUCUUACAAAACUUCGAAAAUUAACAGAGGAUAUUAUUUAUCCAGAGAUUAAAACUAUGUAUCUCUUGAACAUGAAAACUAUGUCACUCUUGUAUAUUGUUCUAAUCUAACCUAAUCUAACCUAACCUACGCCCCGAAUGCACGUUGACGUAUGCUUGAAAUUCAAACGACGAUCACACGUUGGAAAGAUCAUACAAUCGACAAAAUCUCGUGUUAAUUAUCAUUCGAAUGAUCAUUUCCAAUGCAUUCCGUGUCAUUUUAUUUACAAACUGAAUAAACUGCUUCGU